CAAUAGCGUAUAUUAAAGUUGUUGCGGUUAAAAAGCUCGUAGUUGGAUUUCUGCUGAGAACGACCGGUCCGCCCUCUGGGUGUGUAUCUGGCUCUUUCUUGGCAUCUUCUUGGUGAACGUUGCUGCACUUGACUGUGUGGAGCGCUACCCAGGACUUUUACUUUGAGGAAAUUAGAGUGUUCAAAGCAGACCUUUGCUCGAAUACGUUAGCAUGGAAUAAUAAAAUAGGGCGUGCGUUUCUAUUUUGUUGGUUUCUAGAGACGCCGCAAUGAUUAACAGGAACAGUCGGGGGCAUCAGUAUUCAGUUGUCAGAGGUGAAAUUCUUGGAUUUACUGAAGACUAACUACUGCGAAAGCAUUUGCCAUGGAUGUUUNCAUUA
rnacentral:rRNA from 1 species